rnacentral:piRNA from 1 species
UGGUUCAAAUGACCUACAGCUGCUUCUUUGC